UUGUAGGGCAAUCUGUCUUUAAGUAGGGGUGAGUUACUCUUAAAGAAUAAAAAAGGGAAUUCUAGAUAGUUUUCCCUUCAAAUCAAACAUCUUAU
rnacentral:pre_miRNA from 1 species